UCAACCAGAUCUGUUGUGAGAUAGUAACUCACUCACGAAACCCAAAGGCGAAGUGAAGGUAAAGGUUCGGCUUGUCCGGACUGAGGUGAGAUCCUGUUGUCUUGCUCAUACUUUCCAAGUUGCGAGCAGCGGGCGCAUCACCAGCCCGUCUCAUGACGUAGACAUGUGACCUCGUGUUGUGUGCACCGUCGGGGCGGAGCAAGACCGUACACGUUGAGACCCGAAAGAUGGUGAACUAUGCUUGUGAAGGUUGAAGCUAGAGGAAACUCUGGUGGAGGACCGUAGCGAUUCUGACGUACAAAUCGAUCGUAUAACGUGAGUAUAGGGGCGAAAGACUAAUCGAACUAUCUAGUAGCUGG
rnacentral:ncRNA from 1 species